rnacentral:rRNA from 1 species
UACGUAGGGGGCUAGCGUUGUCCGGAUUUAUUGGGCGUAAAGAGCGUGUAGGCGGCCAGGUAGGUCUGCUGUGAAAACUCGAGGCUCAACCUCGAGACGUCGGCGGAAACCAUCUGGCUAGGAGUCCGGAAGAGGAGAGUGGAAUUCCUGGUGUAGCGGUGAAAUGCGCAGAUAUCAGGAAGAACACCCGUGGCGAAGGCGGCUCUCUGGGACGGUACUGACGCUGAGACGCGAAAGCGUGGGGAGCGAACAGG